rnacentral:rRNA from 1 species
AGGUGCCCGUACCGCAAACCGACACAGGUAGGUAGGAAGAAGAUUCUAAGGCCAACGGGAGAAGGGUUGUUAAGGAACUCGGCAAAUUGACCCCGUAACUUCGGGAGAAGGGGUGCUCCAGAGAUGGAGCCGCAGAGAAUCGGCCCAAGCAACUGUUUACCAAAAACACAGGUUUGUGCUAAAUCGAAAGAUGACGUAUACGAGCUGACGCCUGCCCGGUGCUGGAAGGUUAAGAGGAGAUGUGCAAGCAUUGAAUCGAAGCCCCAGUGAACGGCGGCCGUAACUAUAACGGUCCUAAGGUAGCGAAAUUCCUUGUCAGGUAAGUUCUGACCCGCAUGAAAGGCGUAAUGAUUUGGGCACUGUCUCAACAGCCCGCCCGGCGAAAUUGUAGUACCGGUGAAGAUGCCGGUUACCCGCGACAAGACGGAAAGACCCCAUGGAGCUUUACUGUAGCCUAAUAUUGGGUUUCGAUGUUGCAUGCACAGGAUAGAUGGGACACUGGGAAACAAUCGCUUUGGCGGUUGCGGAGUGGCCGUUGGGAUACCAUCCUUGCGAUAUUGGAAUUCUAACCUGCGGCUCUGAAUCGAGUCGGGGGACAUUGUUAGGUGGGCAGUUUGACUGGGGCGGUCGCCUCCUAAAAAGUAACGGAGGCGUUCAAAGGUUCGCUCAGCUUGAACGGAAAUCAAGCAAAAGAGUGCAAACGCAGAAGCGAGCCUAACUGCGAGACUGACGGGUCGAGCAGUAACGAAAGUUGGAGUUAGUGAUCCGGUGGUAUGUGAGUGGAAAUGCCAUCGCUCAACGGAUAAAAGUUACCCUGGGGAUAACAGGCUGAUCUCCCCCAAGAGUCCACAUCGACGGGGAGGUUUGGCACCUCGAUGUCGGCUCAUCGCAUCCUGGGGCUGUAUUCGGUCCCAAGGGUUUGGCUGUUCGCCAAUUAAAGCGGUACGCGAGCUGGGUUCAGAACGUCGUGAGACAGUUCGGUCCCUAUCUGUCGUGGGCGCAGGAUAUUUGAUGGGAGCUGUCCCUAGUACGAGAGGACCGGGACGGACGUACCUCUGGCGCACCAGUUGUUCCGCCAGGAGCAUAGCUGGGCAACUACGUACGGAUCGGAUAAACGCUGAAAGCAUCUAAGCGUGAAGCCGACCCAAAGAUAAGAUAUCCCAUUGUUUUAAACAAGUAAGACCCCUUGAAGACUACAAGGUUGAUAGGCACGAUGUGUAAGUGGAGCGAUCCAUUCAGCAAGCGUGUACUAAUAGGUCGAGGGCUUGACCA